AACGAGUGAUGUGGGUAUCUAACGGGCAGUGUGGGUAUCUAACGAGCGGUGUAGGUAUCUAACGAGUGAUGUGGGUAUCUAACGAGCGGUGUGAGUAUCUAACGAGCGGUGUGGGUAUCUAACGAGCGGUGUGGGUAUCUAACGAGCGGUGUGAGUAUCUAACGAGCGGUGUGGGUAUCUAACGAGCGGUGUGGGUAUCUAACGAGUGGUGUGGGUAUCUAACGAGCGGUGUGUGUAUCUAACGAACAGUGUUGGUUUCUAACGAGCUGUGUGGGUAUCUAACGAGCGGUUUUGGUUUCUAACGAGCGGUGUGGGUAUCUAGCGGGCGGUGUGUGUAUGGCGUGUUUAUGUAUGGUGAGUCGUGGGGAUGGUACAAGUAUACGGUAUUUACUGGUAUUACCUACAGAGAUGGAUCUACAAACCAUUUUAUCGCCAUUGUCUCAUUUUUGUUAUUCUAACUUUCUAUUUGAUGCAACGAUGUAAAUGUUUCUUCAAUUUCCUUAAACAUCUCGAGCUUACUAUUUCGUGGUCAUGUUGCAUAAACUGUGAACAAAUAAAACUAAAAAGUA